rnacentral:rRNA from 1 species
AUACAUGCAAGUAGAACGCUGAAGAGAGGAGCUUGCUCUUCUUGGAUGAGUUGCGAACGGGUGAGUAACGCGUAGGUAACCUGCCUUGUAGCGGGGGAUAACUAUUGGAAACGAUAGCUAAUACCGCAUAACAAUGGAUGACUCAUGUCAUUUAUUUGAAAGGGGCAAAUGCUCCACUACAAGAUGGACCUGCGUUGUAUUAGCUAGUAGGUGAGGUAACGGCUCACCUAGGCGACGAUACAUAGCCGACCUGAGAGGGUGAUCGGCCACACUGGGACUGAGACACGGCCCAGACUCCUACGGGAGGCAGCAGUAGGGAAUCUUCGGCAAUGGGGGCAACCCUGACCGAGCAACGCCGCGUGAGUGAAGAAGGUUUUCGGAUCGUAAAGCUCUGUUGUAAGUCAAGAACGAGUGUGAGAGUGGAAAGUUCACACUGUGACGGUAGCUUACCAGAAAGGGACGGCUAACUACGUGCCAGCAGCCGCGGUAAUACGUAGGUCCCGAGCGUUGUCCGGAUUUAUUGGGCGUAAAGCGAGCGCAGGCGGUUUGAUAAGUCUGAAGUUAAAGGCUGUGGCUCAACCAUAGUUCGCUUUGGAAACUGUCAAACUUGAGUGCAGAAGGGGAGAGUGGAAUUCCAUGUGUAGCGGUGAAAUGCGUAGAUAUAUGGAGGAACACCGGUGGCGAAAGCGGCUCUCUGGUCUGUAACUGACGCUGAGGCUCGAAAGCGUGGGGAGCGAACAGGAUUAGAUACCCUGGUAGUCCACGCCGUAAACGAUGAGUGCUAGGUGUUGGAUCCUUUCCGGGAUUCAGUGCCGCAGCUAACGCAUUAAGCACUCCGCCUGGGGAGUACGACCGCAAGGUUGAAACUCAAAGGAAUUG